rnacentral:rRNA from 1 species
CCUGGCUCAGGACGAACGCUGGCGGCGUGCCUAAUACAUGCAAGUAGAACGCUGAAGAGAGGAGCUUGCUCUUCUUGGAUGAGUUGCGAACGGGUGAGUAACGCGUAGGUAACCUGCCUUGUAGCGGGGGAUAACUAUUGGAGACGAUAGCUAAUACCGCAUAACAAUGGAUGACACAUGUCAUUUAUUUGAAAGGGGCAAUUGUUCCACUACAAGAUGGACCUGCGUUGUAUUAGCUAGUAGGUGAGGUAAUGGCUCACCUAGGCGACGAUACAUAGCCGACCUGAGAGGGUGAUCGGCCACACUGGGACUGAGACACGGCCCAGACUCCUACGGGAGGCAGCAGUAGGGAAUCUUCGGCAAUGGGGGCAACCCUGACCGAGCAACGCCGCGUGAGUGAAGAAGGUUUUCGGAUCGUAAAGCUCUGUUGUAAGUCAAGAACGGGUGUGAGAGUGGAAAGUUCACACUGUGACGGUAGCUUACCAGAAAGGGACGGCUAACUACGUGCCAGCAGCCGCGGUAAUACGUAGGUCCCGAGCGUUGUCCGGAUAUAUUGGGCGUAAAGCGAGCGCAGGCGGUUUGAUAAGUCUGAAGUUAAAGGGUGGCUCAACCAUAGUUCGCUUUGGAAACUGUCAAACUUGAGUGCAGAAGGGGAGAGUGGAAUUCCAUGUGUAGCGGUGAAAUGCGUAGAUAUAUGGAGGAACACCGGUGGCGAAAGCGGCUCUCUGGUCUGUAACUGACGCUGAGGCUCGAAAGCGUGGGGAGCGAACAGGAUAGAUACCCUGGUAGUCCACGCCGUAAACGAUGAGUGCUAGGUGUUGGAUCCUUCCGGGAUUCAGUGCCGCAGCCAACGCAUUAAGCACUCCGCCUGGGGAGUACGACCGCAAGGUUGAAACUCAAAGGAAUUGACGGGGGCCCGCACAAGCGGUGGAGCAUGUGGUAAUUCGAAGCAACGCGAAGAACCUUACCAGGUCUUGACAUCCCGAUGCUAUUUCUAGAGAUAGAAAGUUACUUCGGUACAUCGGUGACAGGUGGUGCAUGGUUGUCGUCAGCUCGUGUCGUGAGAUGUUGGGUUAAGUCCCGCAACGAGCGCAACCCCUAUUGUUAGUUGCCAUCAUUCAGUUGGGCACUCUAGCGAGACUGCCGGUAAUAAACCGGAGGAAGGUGGGGAUGACGUCAAAUCAUCAUGCCCCUUAUGACCUGGGCUACACACGUGCUACAAUGGUAGGUACAACGAGUUGCGAGUCGGUGACGGCGGGCUAAUCUCUUAAAGCCAAUCUCAGUUCGGAUUGUAGGCUGCAACUCGCCUACAUGAAGUCGGAAUCGCUAGUAAUCGCGGAUCAGCACGCCGCGGUGAAUACGUUCCGGGCGUUGUACACACCGCCCGUCACACCACGAGAGUUUGUAACACCGAAGUCGGUGAGGUAACCUUUGGAGCCAGCCGCCUAAGGUGGGACAGAUGAUUGGGGUGAAGUCGU